rnacentral:lncRNA from 1 species
AUGUGCCCUGAUCACUCUGUGCAUUUUCUGCCUCUAGACCUGCAGUCAGCCGUUUCUCCGGGGAGCCCUGGUGCCUUUGAGUGGAGACUGGCUUUAGAGACCAAAAUCCGAGCCCAGGGGUGCUCGUGGCCCACAAAGCACAGAUGCUCACGGUUCUCAUUGAUGCCUGGCUGUACCAUCAUGGCUCACCGGUCCCAGUUGCACCUUUGCCCAGUCUGUGAACUGCUGAAGAUGUCACCGUGUCUGUUUUGGUCACUUGCCCUCUGUAACAAACCACACCUUUAACUGCACAACUCGAGGUUAAUUACGAGGGAGUGGAGAGCUGUGAGGGAGGAGCAAGAUCAGAGGAAGCUCCAGAAGCCCAGCAGCGUGGAGGCAGGACCCUGUCCACCAGCGAGGUCUAGGGGCAGCCCUACAGCGGGUCAGUGGGAGAAUCUGGUGCAUCCAAGGACUCGCCGCCCAGGACUUCCCGCCCUCCUCUGCCCUCCCCGCCCAGCUCCCACGCUGCUUCCAGGCCUGGUCCUCCCCUUCCCCCUGCCCUCCUCCCCCCGACUCAGUCUCCAGUCUCCACCGCAGCACUCAGGCCCUGGCUCACUGUGUUGCUGCCACCUGGUCCUGCCGUGGUGAUGAGCAGCUGCAGUGUCUGUGACAUCUUAGCCAACACCCCAGGCUGAAUGACAACAACCUCCUCCAUUCACUAGCCACAGGGGACUUCCUGUCACGGCUCAGCGGCAACACGUCUGACUAGCAUUCAGGAGGAUGCAGGUUCCAUCCCUGGCCUCACUCAGUGGGUUAAGGAUCUGGUGUUGCUGUGACCUGUGGUGUAGGUCACAGACGUGGCCCGGAUCCUGCAUUACUCAGUUCUAUGUAUCUUUUUUUUUUUUUUUUUCCACUUUUUUUUAAAAAGAGGGAAUGCGUCACGAGUGGUGUGUCAUCCUUGCUCAGGGGCCGGGCUAAUCUUCGCUGGAUCAUUCCACCCAAGUGAGCACAGUUCUGUGUAUUUUAAAUUUCCUUCAAGACGUUGUCUCUGACCCAUGGAUUGUUGAGAAGUGUGUUGUUGUCUUUCCAAGAAUUGAGAGCUUUUUCCACUGUCUUUCUGUGGGUGGUUUCUAGUUGGAUGCUCCUAGGGUCGGAGAACAUACCGUGUAUGACGUUCAUUUUUAAAAUUUGUCGGGGCUUAUUUUAUGGCCCAGGAUAUGGUCGAUCUGGAUGCCUGUUCCUGGGCACUUGAGAACAAAAUGCCAGCACGGGGGCGGGGGGCUGGGGGGGACACACACGGAUGGCGAAGGGACGCCCCACCCUGAGAUGCCGCCGUGCGCUCUGUCCCAGGGAGCGGGGAGCCCCUCCUCCCCCUGCAGCACCAGCCGAACCCCACGCAGCACCCGAUAAACGCCCUCUCCAGCUGCACUGCCCAGGCUCUGAAAGUGAGACUGUCAUUGGAAUCACAGCCUCCAAAGCGCCGAAAUAAAAGAACUGUUGACUGUGAGUUUCA